rnacentral:lncRNA from 1 species
CUCGAUCCCAUAACGCCGGGAUCACGCCCUGAGCCGAAGGCAGACACUUUAACGACUGCGCUACCCAGGCGCCCCUAAAAGAACAAUUUCUAACAAAGUGUUCCUCACCUAACAAACGGGGGACGCUAGGUGAGAAUAUGCCUUGGGGAUAUGGCUUGAAUUCAAAUUUUGAAUUCAUUACUGAAUAUUCUAUUGAGGAAUGUCUAAAACCCCAGAUUUUGAUCUUCCUUAUUGUGGUCCCAUUAUGAAGACAUUGUACGGAAAUUGUCACUAGUGGGGGGGAUGACUAACCUCAGGCUGGAUUCUUUCACGUGGUAAUUCGAAAGACUUUCCAUUGGCUCAGUCAGUGCCAGCUAAUUUGUGCCUCAAGAAGAUCAAGGGGUGAUUGUCUGAGAUCAUAGACAAGCCUGAAUUGUAGCAAAGAAUAAUUUGAAAAUAACAACAACAACAAAAAAAAGAUAAGAAAAGGGCCGCCUGGGGCCACCUGGGUGGCUCAGCCCUUAAGCGGCUCAGGUCAUGAUCCCAGAGUCCUGGGAUCGAGCCCCACAUCGGGCUCCCUGCUCAGUGGGGAGCCUGCUUCUCCCUCUCCCACUCCCCCUGUCCUUGUGUCCUCUCUCGCUAUGUCUCUCUCUGUCAAAUAAAUAAAAUCUUUAAAAAGAAAAAAAAAGAAAGAAAAAGAAAAAAGAAAGGGGCCCCUCGGUGGCUCAGUCAGUUAAGUGACCAACUCUUGAUUUUGGCUCAGGUCAUGAUCUCAGGGUCCUGGGAUGGAGCCCCACAUGGGGCUCCUCAAUCAGCGGGGAGCCUGCUCCAUAUUUGCUCUCUCUCCCUCUGCUCAAUCCCCGUGCAAAUGUGCAUGCUCUCUCUCCCUGUUUCUCAAUAAAUAAAUAAAUCUUUUAAAAAGAGAAUGAGAAAGAGAGAAAAAGAAAACUCGGGUGGGUUUAUUAGCUUUGAGUCAUGGAGAGUGUAAUUUAUGGGACGGAAAGGGGCUGCAGGAGUGGAGCUGGGGAGGCCAGACAGGCAGCCAAGAAAGCAGGCCCCCAGACCAGGGGCUGGGCUCAGUCAGGUGUGGCCAGGGCUGGGCAGGCCCACGCCUCUCUGCUUUGUGGAGCAGGCAAAGCAAGCUCGGAGGAACAGGUAGCCUGAAGUUCGGGUGAGUUGAUGUUGGCCUCCUCGGGCUUGCACUGUGCUCUCUCAGUCGGGGUCUGAAGGGAAAAGGAGCCACAAGACACAAAUGAGGAAAAACACAAAAUGUUCUCAUCCAUUUCCAAACUCUACAGCACUUUGAAUUUUCUUUUUUUCUUUUUUUUUUUUAAAGAUUUUAUUUAUUUGACAGAGAGAGCGAGCACAAGCAGGGGGAGCGGCAGGCAAGGGGAGAAGGAGAAGCAGGCCUCCCGCUGAGCAGAGAGCUGGAUGGAUGAGGGGCUCAAUCCCAGGACCCUGGGAUCCCGACCUGAGCUGGCAGAAGCUUAACCGACUGAGCCACCCAGGCGCCCCAGCACUUUUAAUUUUCAAAGAAAUGUUUCCCAGUGUUAUUAAGACAUAAGCUACGUAGGUUCUGUAUCCAUUUAAGGUGUAUGGCAUAAUGAUCUGACAUACCUAGUGUGAACUAAUUAGCACGGUAAGUUUAGUUACAUCCAUCAUGUCCUAAAGAGGCAGGUGAGAAAGGAGAAAGAAAAUUGAGAAAGACACAAUUUGUUCUUUGUGAUGAGAAGUCUAAAAUUGACUCUCGUAACUGUCACAGACACCACAGGGCAGUGUUAAGUAUAGUCUGUAUGCGACGUUAUAGUCCUAGCACUUAUUUUUCCUAAAAUGGCAAGUUUUUACCUUUUGACCACCUUCAGGCAGUUCGUCCACCCACCCCCUCUAAAAGUGGUCACAAAUCUGAUCUCUUUUUCCAUGAGUUUGCUGGGUUUUUUAUUUUUAGAUUGCACCUAUCACUGAGAUCAUCAAGUGCUUGUGUGAAGAUUUUAAUGGAUGUCCCCCCAAGUGCAGUAAGAGUUGUUUGAAUCCAGUAUUAGAAAUACGGAACUAGUCUCAGUGUAUACCUCGGUUAGGCUACUAGGCAUUUCUGUAGGUUUGGCCUCCGG